UCGCCCCGCCAUAACGCUGUUUAUCGUUAUGGCGCCCCGCUAAACAUCGUCUUUUCGCCUCGCCAUAACGCUGUUUAUCGUUAUGGCGCCUUCCGGCUAGUCAUGCGCUGAGCAAUCUUUCAUAGAAGAUGGCGGAGCAAAGCAGUUACACCAGCCUUUUGAACGGAGACAAUACCACUAGUAUCCUUUUUAUUUAGCUUUAAUAACCUUUUAGGUGAGUUUUAAAAUGGUUUGGUACACAUUGUACCGCUUAUGUUCACUUGUGCUGUUAUCUAUAUGUUCGAAUAUACGGUUAAGUUGCUUUUUCAAUUUUACAUUUUGAAAUCAUAAUUUAUAUUCAGUAAAAAUGUGUAACAUGUUGUUAAAUACAAUUUCUGAUAAUUUUCCUUAAACAUUGUCAGAACAGGAUCUAAUUAGAGAAUAUCAUUUUGCUGGCUACACGUACUCCGAUAUUAUUCUUAUUCUCUUCUACCAACAUCACGUAUCUAUAAGCUGUAGACAACUACAUCGGUACUCAGAUCACUAGGUCUUCGUCGUCAGCAUGCGGUAACGGAUGAAGUAGUUCAAGCUAUACAGGAGCAAUGUGUUGACUCUUCAGCGCGAACUGGACCCGGACGGUGUUCGUAGCAGACAGAUGCACCGAAGGGCCGAAUUACCUUAUACAUGUCGAUGGCUAUGACAAAAUGAAACGAUUUGGUUUUGCCAUUCACCGUGCAAUAUGCGGGUAUUUUUUUCACAUCAAAGCUUAUUUUUCAUUUCUAUCUGAAGUACAGUAUGUAAAUAGGUAUGGAAUAUGUGCGAUAUUAUUUUGAGGUCGAGGUCAAUAUACAUUGUACGUAGCGGUAGAUUAAGUUUCUUGAUUAAAACAAUAUUGGGAAAAAGUCUAGUUUUCUUUCAUAUCAGCUUCACAUAUGUAAGUAUUAAUGAAAUUAUAGGUACAAACUUCCAAUUUCGUUUCUUUUUUCGAAAUAGUCGUGUCUGUUUACAACGACAUUCGAGCGACAUCACACGUGUUUUGACGGUAUGCACAAAGUGAUUUUAAUGUCACCAUGCUAUUUAACAAUUAAAUGAUUGGUAGAUUGUAUUUAUAGUCAAGGUGAAUGCAAUCCGGGUGACAAGGAAAUAUAAUGUUACAUUAACACACGUAAAGUUUUCCUUUUUCUAAAUCCGUAGUUAAUGCUCAGCCAUUCCCCUAGUCUAUGUUCAUUAAAAAACGGCAAACAUAAAAUCCAUUAACCUCCUGUGAUUGAUUUGCAUUCAAACUGACACAGCCAUAUUUCAAAGAAUCGCCGUGGUGAUGGUAGACAAAGCGCCAAAAUGAAAAUUACGCGAUGGUUCUAAUGACAAAUCCUUGCUACGUUUGAUUUACCCCCAAC